UACGUAGGGGGCUAGCGUUGUCCGGAAUCAUUGGGCGUAAAGCGCGUGUAGGCGGCCCGGUAAGUCCGCUGUGAAAGUCCAGGGCUCAACCCUGGGAUGCCGGUGGAUACUGUCGGGCUCGAGUCCGGAAGAGGCGAGUGGAAUUCCUGGUGUAGCGGUGAAAUGCGUAGAUAUCAGGAGGAACACCUGUGGCGAAAGCGGCGCACUGGACCACAACUGACGCUGAGGCGCGAAAGCUAGGGGAGCAAACAGG
rnacentral:rRNA from 1 species